UCUCUAGUAGCUCAGUCGGUAAAGAAUCUGCCUGCAGUGCAGGAGAACUGGGUUCGAAUCCUUGGUAGGGAA
rnacentral:tRNA from 1 species